UCCGCAACCUUAGACGGCAGAGGGAGGUUGUCAGCCAACGUGCCGUAAUUGACUCCGAUGGAUCCACCUUUAGCUGAUGAACAAAUGAAAGGGAGAAGAAGAAGAAGCAAAGUCACAGCAAUUGAAGUGUAAGCACGAAGAAGGCGCGAGAGAGCGAAAGAGGAAGCCAUUGGUGAAGAAAGCGAGAAGAGUGAAUUGAGGGUGGCAUUGGCCAUUGCUGAAGAAGUAACAUUUUGAUGCUUUGCUUUGCGAUUGGGGAGAAUCGUAUGUUCUUGGUAAUACAUUUCAAGCUUGUUUUUCUUAGAGAGCUUUAUUUGCUUUUGAAUCUGUUCUCUAUUAAUUUCUCUUUUUUUUUCUUCCCCUUUUAGUAAUAAAUGACAAAAUCUGUGCUUGUUUUGA